rnacentral:rRNA from 1 species
CAAAGGAAUUGACGGGACCCGCACAAGCGGUGGAUGAUGUGGAUUAAUUCGAUGCAACGCGAAAAACCUUACCUACCCUUGACAUGUUCGGAAUUCCGCAGAGAUGUGGAAGUGCUCGAAAGAGAACCGGAACACAGGUGCUGCAUGGCUGUCGUCAGCUCGUGUCGUGAGAUGUUGGGUUAAGUCCCGCAACGAGCGCAACCCUUGUCAUUAGUUGCUACGAAAGGGCACUCUAAUGAAACUGCCGGUGACAAACCGGAGGAAGGUGGGGAUGACGUCAAGUCCUCAUGGCCCUUAUGGGUAGGGCUUCACACGUCAUACAAUGGUCAGUACAGAGGGCUGCCAACCCGUAAGGGGGAGCCAAUCCUUUAAAACCGAUCGUAGUCCGGAUUGAGGUCUGCAACUCGACCUCAUGAAGUCGGAAUCGCUAGUAAUCGCGGAUCAGCAUGUCGCGGUGAAUACGUUCCCGGGUCUU